UCUCAACUCCAAGAGACCUAGGGUCUCUCCUUCACCCUGCCGGUAAACCCAGAGGCACCAACACCAACCGGCCGGCCACCGCGAGUCUCUGUUCAAACCAUCGACGAUGCCUAUGCUCGUCGCAGGCCACGACGCCUGGCUCUCCUCCCUCCCUUCUCAUCUUCACGCGCGAGAAGGAUGUGCUCCUGCCUUUCGUUAGUCGCUUCUUGGGAGAUCCCAGCCACCACCAGCCGGAGCGUCACUGGUCCUCGCCAGGGUCGCCGCCGCUGAAACUGGUCGCUGCCGCCUCCCGAUCACGAACCAGGGGUGCGCCGGCGACGCGACUCGCUGCCGGAGCCGUCGCCACUCAAUCCAAGGUAUCGUCGGCAACACCAACCAUCAACAAGACCAGUCUGCGCGAGGGAGAGAAGAACCGUUGCUUCUAUAAAUCUAGUCUCCACCACAACGAACGAAUCCUGCCAUCGCAACCGGCGCGCGUGACUCUUUUCUCCUUCUUUCUAUCGUAGUCGCCGCCACCAGAGAGACGAAAACUGCCGCCACCGAGGCCACCACUAGUGUGGUUCCGCGGUUUGUGUAUCAAACAAAACAGCCACUUUGGUUCGUCGAGACAAUGUUCGAGGGUUUCGGAUUUUUAUUCUGAUACGGUGGUUUGGUGCUUGGAUUGUUUCAAAGGACAAACUUUAAACCUAUGGGCAUGGGAUUUGUGAUCUGGGUUUGUUCAGAUUGAAGAAGACUUAUGGUUUGGCUAGAGGAAGUUGUUUCGGUUUUCUGUUCUUUUCUAUUCUGGAAAUGCAUCUAAUUCUGCUUCUACAUUUUUCUAUAGUGUUUUCUGGGUACAAGUAGAGGGUAUUGAAAUCAUGAUGUUGGAGAACAUGUACCUAGUCUCUACUGUUAGUGAUACAUGAUGAAUCUUGCAGGUAUUUGAUUAAACGAUGAUGUCAUGAAGAGAACACUACUAUAUUAUUAAUCAAGCAUCAUUCAUUCAUAUUCAGACAUGGCAUGUAACAGGGGAACGGACAGUCGCAUAAGACCAAAUCCGAGAAGCUUAGAUAGGGAGAAGCUUAGAUAGGGCCACUUACCUCCGUAGCUUCAAUAGAAUUCUCCCGGGUGAAGGCAAAUGGUCCUCCUUUUCCCUGGCCGUAAGGUAUCUUCCUCCCAGAUUGUGACGAUAGGUAAAUGGUGAUGAGUUUCCAAUGCUCAAGCUCCGAUGAUGAGGUGCUUGAAACUGAAUCCUCUGGUGAAGGUCCUCUUGUGGUAAUGAGAUAUUGCAGAUAAUGAAAUAUUGCCGAUGAACAAUUGGGAGUGAAAGGGAAAUAUCAUUGGAGUGGUUACGAGUGAGAGGAGCCAAGAGAGUCCAGAGCAAGAGGGAGUCUCUGUUAAGUGAGUAGAGAGCGAAUAGAGAGAGUUGCGUAGUGUGUGAGUGAAAAUGAUAAUGGUGCUUCUCCUUUCUGUAUGAUGAGUGCAUAUCCCUUCUGACUUGGGAUUUCUUUUGUUUUUUUUCCUUCUUCAUGUGUUAAGGGGAUCAAUCGGCGAAAGCCAUUCAAAUUUCCUUUCCCCUGACACAACUUUGCAUAUAGACUUUUUAGCAAGAGCAACAAAGACGUUUUCUUACUGUCAUUGUAUGAGAUAUUUUGAGCAUUACUGUGUAAACGUUGCAGGAGGGACACUCCUCUGUGUUAAGCCUGCCUUUUGUGAUAUUCUGCAGUGGACUGUGAUACGCUGCAGGAAAGAGAGCUGAACUUGUGCUUGCUCAGACUGCAAAGGGGAAGCACGAAGUUUGCCAUUCCCAGAUUGCUA